rnacentral:misc_RNA from 1 species
GAUGAAGAACGCAGCGAAAUGCGAUAAGUAAUGUGAAUUGCAGAAUUCAGUGAAUCAUCGAAUCUUUGAACGCACAUUGCGCCCGCCAGCAUUCUGGCGGGCAUGCCUGUUCGAGCGUCAUUUCAACCCUCGAGCCCCCCGUGGGCACACGCCGUCCCCCAAAUGCAGUGGCGGUCCCGCCGCAGCUUCCAUCGCGUAGUAGCUAACACCUCGCGACUGGAGAGCGGCGCGGCCACGCCGUAAAACACCCAACUCUUCUGAAGUUGACCUCGAAUCAGGUAGGAAUACCCGCUGAACUUAAGCAUAUCAAUAAGCGGAGGA